GAUGAACGCUGGCGGCGUGCUUAACACAUGCAAGUCGAACGGACAGGCCCUGCUUUUGUGGGGUGCUCGAGUGGCGAACGGGUGAGAAAAACGUGAGUAACAUGCCCUUGACUUAGGGAUAAAUCCACGAAAAUGGGGCUAAUACAGGAUAGGAGAUACUGAUGCACGGGGGGGGUUGGAAAGUGUCGGCGGUUUGGGAUCGACUCUCGGCUUAUCAGCUUGUUGGUCGGGUAGGGGCUUCCCAAGGCUUCGAAGGGUAGCCGGCCUGAGAGGGUGACCGGCCUCCUUGCGCCUGCGGGACGGCCCAGACUGGAACGGGACGCAGAGGUGGGGAAUCUUGCGCAAUGGGCGGGAGCGUGUUGCGGCGGCGCCGCGUGCGUAAUGCCCGCUUACGGGUUGUAAACCGCUUUCUCCUUUGACGUAGCGGUAUUGACGGUACUGGGUCAAAAAGCACCGGCUAACUACGUG
rnacentral:rRNA from 1 species